rnacentral:misc_RNA from 1 species
UUUCCGUAGGUGAACCUGCGGAAGGAUCAUUACAGAGUUCAUGCCCUCACGGGUAGAUCUCCCACCCUUGAAUAUUUAUACCUUAGUUGCUUUGGCAGGCCGUGGAAACACCAUGGGCUCCGGCUUAUACGUGCCUGCCAGAGGAAACAAACUCUGUUUUUAGUGAUGUCUGAGUACUAUAUAAUAGUUAAAACUUUCAACAACGGAUCUCUUGGUUCUG